rnacentral:misc_RNA from 1 species
GACGGAGGGUGCAAGCGUUGCUCGGAAUCAUUGGGCGUAAAGGGUGCGUAGGCGGCCUGGCAAGUCUCUUGUGAAAGCCCGCGGCUCAACCGCGGAAGGGCAGGAGAAACGGCGAGGCUAGAGGACCGGAAGGGAGAGUGGAAUUCCCGGUGUAGCGGUGAAAUGCGUAGAGAUCGGGAGGAACACCAGUGGCGAAAGCGACUCUCUGGACGGUGCCUGACGCUGAGGCACGAAAGCGUGGGGAGCAAACAGG